AUGGGGUGCAGCAGGCGAGAAAACUUUGCAAUGUGCGAAAGCACGACAAGGUUAAUCCGAGUGAUUUCUGCUAAAGAAAUCUUUUGCAAGUCAUAAAACCACUAGUGAAUAAGGGGUGGGCAAGUUCUGGUGUCAGCCGCCGCGGUAAAACCAGCACCUCAAGUGGUCAGGAGGAUUAUUGGGCCUAAAGCAUCCGUAGCCGGCUCUGUAAGUUUUCGGUUAAAUCCAUGUGCUCAACGCAUGGGCUGCCGAAAAUACUGCAUAGCUAGGGAGUGGGAGAGGUAGACGGUACUCGGUAGGAAGGGGUAAAAUCCUUUGAUCUAUCGAUGACCACCUGUGGCGAAGGCGGUCUACCAGAACACGUUCGACGGUGAGGGAUGAAAGCUGGGGGAGCAAACCGGAUUAGAUACCCGGGUAGUCCCAGCUGUAAACGAUGCAGACUCGAUGAUGCAUUGGCAUAUAGCCAGUGCAGUGUCGCAGGGAAGCCGUUAAGUCUGCCGCCUGGGAAGUACGUACGCAAGUAUGAAACUUAAAGGAAUUGGCGGGGGAGCAC
rnacentral:rRNA from 1 species